GAAAUUUGGGUACGAACCAUGGCUGAUCUAGGAGAGCUUUGACAGGGAGAUAAGUAAGAGAGUUUUGACAGGGAGGUUAGUAGAGUUGAAAGAACUUCUACCCAUCGAUUUUCCUCCUCCUUAAACUCUCUCUAACUUGUAGAUCCUCUCUCCUCUCUUCUCUCCUCUCUCUCCUUUUUUCUCUCUCCGAACUUUUUGCUCGGAAACUAAAUGUGUACCUGAAUUCUGUAAGGUGUUCGACCGUUAUACAACAGUAAUUAUUAACCGGAAGUGCACCGGAAUUUUAGAAGACCGGAUUCUUAUCGAUGAAUUGAUCGCUUCUUUCAAUUGUUUAUGAAAACUCAAAGAUGUCAAUCUGAAUUCCAUAUGUUCUAUUUCCAUUAUUAGUCAGUUGCUCUCCUUUCCCGGCUACUUCUAACCGGAUUUAAUUCGAAGUUCAAUCAUAAUCAAAAUGAUUUGAACACAAAGACACCUCUGUUACGUAUGCUCAAGUGAUACAGAAGCUUCUAAGUUACCAAGAUUCCAGGUCUCUAAGACACCAUUGUUACUAAGACUCCAAGACACAAAGAUCCUAAGCCACGUUUUCACCAUUGGUACCAAGACUCGAAGAUACUUCAGAUACAAGCUUUUAAAGCCUCAAGACUCGAGUUACUAUAAGAGGUAAUUUAUUACACUAAAGGAAGUCAACAGGAUUUAGUUUUUUUCUACAAUCCUGCUUAUGUUGCCGAAAUUGUGGAUCUUAUUGUUAAAUAUGCUGGUGUCACAAUCCCAAAUGAGGUGUUUUUGGAGAAAAAUACUUGUGCGGAGAAAUUUGGCUCGAAAAGUUGAUAAAAGCACCCGGAGGAACCUGUUAUACGGACCCUCGAGUUUGGAUAAGGGGCACCCAGUUACUAAGGGGCACCCUAUGACUAUCUGCACCCCACUGCUGGGAUAGGGGGCAUAGCUUCUUCCACACGUUUAAACUGAUUUUUGGCGGGAAGAAAGUUGAGUUUUGUGCGUAAUUCUCUGGCAGGAUUUUCGUCGAGUUUUAAUUGGAGAUUUUCAUGAGACUGUCUUGGGGUUAGUUGUUGGAGAUAAUACAGGAAAGAUAAGUGUUUUAUGUUCGAUAAAAUAGGGCUAAUUCACCGUCUUGGCAAAACAGGGAAAGUGAAAUAUUGUCGGGUGCUAGUUUGGUUUAUACUUGGAUUUUUACUGGGAUAUGGACUGGUAUUGAUUUGCUGGAGUUGUUAUGUCCGAACAGGGUUGGUAGUUGGGUAAGAAUCGUGAAAAAAGGGAAGUUGUUAUAUGUUUCUCGAUAAAACAGGGUAUGAAGUACUCGGCCUGGAAGAAGAUAUUAUGAGGAGAUUUGAGUCUAUCGAGUUCGUAGGUAAUCUACGGAGAGGAUGGAAAGAUCAGAUAACUUGGAGGACGCGUAUAAGAGAUAAUGAAGGAAAGAAUUUAGGCCAUAACUUCCGGUGAAAGAGAAGAAAAUAUUCUCGAAAUUUUAGGUCAUGUGAUAUACAUAAAAGCAUCGAUUAGACUCUCAGGGGAUUGUCGAGAGUUUGGGUAUCGAGCAGAGGUGUUAGGGUAGCUGCAGGUGGAGUUGGGGAGCCAACAAGAGGCUCAGGAACGAAGAAAAAAUAAUUGCAGAGAAGUUCUCUGCUGCUGCCAAAGAAGAAGGGCACGAAGAACAUUGAACCAGCAAAGACGGUCGCGAAAGCUACGAUUGAGAAGACAGACUUAUUUACCGCAGUCUUAUUAUUGAUGUUCCCCUUGUAACAGUCGUUCUGCAACGCAUAUAGACGUUGCUAUUGAAUUGUUUUAUUCCUUUUGAGUCUCUUCACGUUUGUAAACACCGUAUGAGCAAUGGAAAAAUCUUUUGAACGUGUUUUUGA